rnacentral:rRNA from 1 species
UACAGGGGGGGCAAGCGUUGUUCGGAAUUACUGGGCGUAAAGGGUCUGUAGGUGGCCAACUAAGUCGGACGUGAAAUCCCUCAGCUUAACUGGGGAACUGCGUCUGAUACUGGGUGGCUUGAGUGUGGGAGAGGAAUGCGGAAUUCCAGGUGUAGCGGUGAAAUGCGUAGAUAUCUGGAGGAACACCGGUGGCGAAGGCGGCAUUCUGGACCAUAACUGACACUGAGACGCGAAAGCGUGGGGAGCGAACAGG